CAACGCGAAGAACCUUACCUACUCUUGACAUCCAGAGAAUUUAGCAGAGAUGCUUUAGUGCCUUCGGGAACUCUGAGACAGGUGCUGCAUGGCUGUCGUCAGCUCGUGUUGUGAAAUGUUGGGUUAAGUCCCGCAACGAGCGCAACCCUUAUCCUUUGUUGCCAGCACGUAAUGGUGGGAACUCAAAGGAGACUGCCGGUGAUAAACCGGAGGAAGGUGGGGAUGACGUCAAGUCAUCAUGGCCCUUACGAGUAGGGCUACACACGUGCUACAAUGGCAUAUACAAAGAGAAGCGAACUCGCGAGAGCAAGCGGACCUCAUAAAGUAUGUCGUAGUCCGGAUUGGAGUCUGCAACUCGACUCCAUGAAGUCGGAAUCGCUAGUAAUCGUAGAUCAGAAUGCUACGGUGAAUACGUUCCCGGGCCUUGUACACACCGCCCGUCACACCAUGGGAGUGGGUUGCAAAAGAAGUAGGUAGCUUAACCUUCGGGAGGGCGCUUACCACUUUGUGAUUCAUGACUGGGGUGAAGUCGUAAC
rnacentral:rRNA from 1 species